AGUGAACGCUGGCGGUAGGCCUAACGCAUGCAAGUCGAACGGCAGCACAGUAAGAGCUUGCUCUUACGGGUGGCGAGUGGCGGACGGGCGAGGAAUACAUCGGAAUCUACUUUUUCGUGGGGGAUAACGUAGGGAAACUUACGCUAAUACCGCAUACGACCUACGGGUGAAAGCAGGGGAUCUUCGGACCUUGCGCGAUUGAAUGAGCCGAUGUCGGAUUAGCUAGUUGGCGGGGUAAGGGCCCACCAAGGCGACGAUCCGUAGCUGGUCUGAGAGGAUGAUCAGCCACACUGGAACUGAGACACGGUCCAGACUCCUACGGGAGGCAGCAGUGGGGAAUAUUGGACAAUGGGCGCAAGCCUGAUCCAGCCAUACCGCGUGGGUGAAGAAGGCCUUCGGGUUGUAAAGCCCUUUUGUUGGGAAAGAAAAGCAGCAGGUUAAUACCCCGCUGUUCUGACGGUACCCAAAGAAUAAGCACCGGCUAACUUCGUG
rnacentral:rRNA from 1 species